rnacentral:rRNA from 1 species
GAUGAACGCUGGCGGCGUGCCUAACACAUGCAAGUCGAGCGAAGCGCCUUACCGGAUUCUUCGGAUGAAGGUCUGGUGACUGAGUGGCGGACGGGUGAGUAACGCGUGGGUGACCUGCCCUGUAGAGGGGGAUAACAGCUGGAAACGGCUGCUAAUACCGCAUAAGCGCACGAGGAGACAUCUCCUUGUGUGAAAAACUCCGGUGGUACAGGAUGGGCCCGCGUCUGAUUAGCUGGUUGGCAGGGUAACGGCCUACCAAGGCAACGAUCAGUAGCCGGUCUGAGAGGAUGAACCGCCACAUUUGAACUGAGCCACGGUCCAAACUCCUACGGGAUGCAGCAGUGGCGAAUAUUGCACAAUGGGGGAAGUCCUGAUGCAGCAACGCCGCGUGAGUGAAGAAGUAUUUCGGUAUGUAAAGCUCUAUAAGCAGGGAAGAUAAUGACGGUACCUGACGAAGAAGCUCCGGCUAAAUACGUG